CCUACGGGUGGCAGCAGUGAGGAAUAUUGGUCAAUGGCCGGAAGGCUGAACCAGCCAAGCCGCGUGAAGGACGAAGGUUCCAAGCAUUGUAAACUUCUUUUGUCAAGGGACAAACUCAGGUACGAGAGCCUGACCGAGGGUACUUGAAGAAAAAGCAUCGGCUAACUCCGUGCCAGCAGCCGCGGUAAUACGGAGGAUGCGAGCGUUAUCCGGAUUUAUUGGGUUUAAAGGGUGCGUAGGCGGACUUUUAAGUCAGAGGUUAAAUGACCGGGCUCAACCCCGGGGGAGCGUUUGAAACUGGUGGUCUUGAGAUGAGGAGAGGUAUGCGGAAUGCGCAGUGUAGCGGUGAAAUGCGUAGAGAUUGGGCAGAACUCCGAUUGCGAAGGCAGCAUACCGGCGGCGAUCUGACGUUGAGGCACGAAAGCGUGGGGAGCGAACAGGAUUAGAUACCCGGGUAGUC
rnacentral:rRNA from 1 species